AAGGUCUCGAAGAACCCUAAAGUUCAUUGAUCGACCGUUCACCCAUUCAUAUGCUGCACCACUGACCGAACCUGAUAUUCAAAUAGUACUCCACCCAACUCUUGAGUAGGAUGUUGGGUCAGGUUUUAUUUGGAUAUCAGGCCAGGUCGGGAUUUAAUUUCAGUUCGAUACCAACUGUUUUGAUAUCGGUUUAAUUAGUUUGAUAUCAGUUUAGAUUCUAAACCAGUAAACCAAGCUAAACCUUUGUCUUUGCGGUUUCGGAUCUCGAUCUUCAAAAAAUGAGGGUAAACAGAUUUAUUUACUUCAAAUGUGUGCAAUUAAGUUCAUAUAUUUAAAAUGUAUGCAAUUAGGAUGAGCAUGAAAGAUUGUGCAGAACUCUUACUAUACGAAUGUGAAAAUAGGUCGUUUACCUUUGUUUAUUUUGGCGUUCAUUUUCUCUUAUUGUCUUUGCUAAAAUUUUAAAAUAGUUUGCCUUUAAUAUCCAUGGUUAUCUAAAAGUCUUUGCUAAACAUGUAUUAUCGAGAGUGCAAGACAGCCAGAAUACUGAACCUGAUUCAUCAAAUAAUUUUAUUUUGCAUGAUUUUGAUGUAAAUUGAAUUAUUAUAUUCAUGUUGUCCCUCUUCUAUAAACAUCUGAGUAUACUUUUUUAUAUAAACAUUUAUAAAAUAAUUAAAUUGUGAGAAUUAUUAUAUAUUUUAUUUUGUUUGUUUAUAAGUGUUAGGUUAUAUUGUAAUUUAUACUAGAUUUUGACCCGCGCUUUGAAAGCGCGGGAUUUAUUUCAUGUUAUAUUAACAUAUCAAAUCAUCAAUAUGUUUAUGUAUUCAUCGGAGAUUUAACUUCAAGAUGUGUAAUAUUGUUUCGAUAUUGUGACAAUAUGUAACUAUAUUUUUGUGUAAUGUGAAAUUUUAAAUUAAUAGAUUACAAAUAAAUAAGACACAAUAGAUUACAAUUUUUUGUAUCUUAUUAAAUUAAAACUAAUUUUAUGAUUAAGUAAAAACAUUAACUACAUAUUAAACUAUGAUCCAUCUAUACUAUUAGUUGAAAUAGUAUGGAAUUAUUAUUUGCAAAUUAAAUAAGAUAUAAAUUACUAUUAUAAGAGAAAAAUGUUACUAUGAUUCAUCUUUAAUUAUUAAAAAAUGUAUGGAUUUUUUAUUUUUGUAUAUAUAUUAUUAUCAUAUAAAUUUUUUAUUUAAAAAAAAAAUAUAUAUCAAUUUGUAAUGUUUCUGUUAUAAAUAAUUUAUAAUGUAUAGAUUAUACCAUUUUGACAUAUGGCUAGAUUUUUACUUGCGCUUUAAAAGCACAAUAUUUUUUUCAAACAAAAUUUUAUUUGUUACCAGUUUGUAUUUUUGAAUUUGAUAUCAGUUUGUAUUUUUGAUUUUGUAUCACAUUUUUUGCAACAAAGACAUCAUUAUAUAUAUUUGUAUGAAUUCUUUAGUAUUUAUAAGGGUUGCAUUUAUGAAUUUUGGGAAGAGUUAAGAUAUAAUCUACAUCUAUUGUGUUUAUUUAAUGGUUAAAUUUUUGAGAUUUGUAGUAGUUAUGUAAAGGUUACAAACUUACAAUUAUGGAUUUUGCAACUGAAAAUUUUAAUUUAGUGUUAAUGAUUUUUUUAAAAAAAUUAACACAUAAUUCAAUAUCACUUAUAUAUCACUUUGUCAAUGAGAAUACUAUUUGGGGGUAAAAUUGUAUACAUAAUUUGUUUUCCAAAAAGUAAUCUAGUACAACCUUAGACAUUUUAUAAUUUAUUAAAAACUGCUCAAUUAUAAAUAUACAGUAAAUCCUGAGAGAGAUAUGUAAAGUAAUAUCAAUAUAUCUCAAAGGCAUAUGUUUAAUUAGAGAUUGCUCAACGUUCUAAGGGUAUUUGUUCAAUUUCUCUGACCUUUUUUAAUUUCUGGAUUUUUGUGUGUAUAAAUAUUCUUCACAUGCAUGGUUUAAAUCAGAUGAAUCUGUUGACAGAAAAAAAAUCAGAUGAAUCUAACAUAAAAACAAAGUGAAGAUGAGGUGGUGUUGGAAGAUAAGGAAUUAGCAAAUAAUUCAGGAAGAUGAAGUGGUUUUUUUAUCUCGUAAUUUUCUGAUUUAGUCAAGCUUCAAAGGACACAUAAGAAAAUAAAUGAAAGCAGCUGAUGCAGUUUACAAAGAACUCAUGUAAGUAAUGCUAUUUCUUAACUUCAAGAUUUUAGUGAGGUGAAUUUUUUUUUGUUCAAAGACAUGAGUUUUCGUAAGGCUUUUUUUAAUAAAUUAAUUCCUUACAAAAAUUUAACCUGCUUGGAUUUAAUUGUUUUAAUUUGUCCUCAUAGCCAGUUAUAUAGAGUAUGUAUAGUUGGAAAUUAAUUAACUAUUCUACUUUGAAAUUGUUUUAGGAAUUUCUAAACUGCCUGAAACAACACGCAUAUAAGUCUCAGGAUGCCUUAUAUAAUAUUGUAUUUGUUAUAAUGAAACUACUAAUGUUGAUACAAUAUUGUUUUUGUUCUUAUAGAAAAUUUUAUUGUUCUGUAGGAUCUGUAGAAGGAGCAGUGAAGUUUAAGUGAGAUAAAAGAAAGCAAUGAAAGUAUUCUUUUUAGAUCAGCAUAGAACUGAUUCUGUUAAGCACAAUAGACGGAAAAAAUUAAAAUAAUUUUAUAAGUUAGGGAUAGAACUGAUUAUGUUAGUUAUGAAAUGAAAACUAAAAAGAAAUAUAUUAUGGUGUAUAUGUGAUCAUUAUAUGUAAUGCAGUACUUAAUAUAGAUGAAUAAGACCGUAAUAUACCAAAAACCCUCAAAAGCGCACUUACAUAUGCAUAUUAGAAUAUGAUCUCCAAGCUUGCUUUGGAUCUGGCUGUGAAUUGCUUCCAUGAGUGAAGCACUUUGAUUUGAAUCCGCCAAAAAGUUUUAAAAGGUUUAAUCUUGCUAAGAAAACUUAAUUUUACGACUGAUUAGUCUUUUUUUGUUAUUUGUGGUGAAUGCUUUUGUCAAGCUGUUGAUGAAUGUAGUUUUAUACCAUCUUGUUGUUAAAAAAAAAAAAGUUUUAUACCAUCUAAUACCAUUUCAGCAUAGUCGUCAGUUUGUUUUAAACUAAAGAUUUGUUUAGUUUAUGUUUCACAAAAGUUGAUUUGUGGAAGAUUGAGAAUUAUAAUGAUUGGGCGCUAGUUUUUCUGCUCUAAUAUUUUAGAUAUUAAGGUUUACGAUUUUUUAUUUUUCUAAUUUCUAUUGUUUUUUAUUGAUUUGAAAAAAAAAAUUGCAACUACGAUAACAACCGGCACAAUAUUUGAAUAGUUAAAAAAUAAAUUGGUAUAAUAAUAAAUUUGUUAUUAAGCAUAUAUAUUUUAAAAAAACACUUCGACUUUAAUUUAACAGUUAUCCCUAAUUCUGUUUUUAUGGUUUAUUUUCAAUAGAUGAGGGGUAAAAAUAAAAUAAAAACUAAUGAUUUGGGGUUUAGGGUAUUGUGAAUUAGGGAUCAUAUAUGUUAGGAACGUAUAAUUAUGAAUACUGCCAAAAUGCAUUAUAUCAGACUUCAUCUAUAUAUAUUACAUGUCAAUUUGAAAAUCUUGUAUGUUAUUAGAUGGUGUAAGUUUCAAUACGUAAAACCCACACAACACCAUAUACUUCAAAAAAAAAACAUAUGGUUUACGAUUGGUUAUGUUAAUAGAAAUAAUAUAGUUAGAUUUUUUUUUAGUAUAGAGAAAUAAUAUAAGAUUAGUUAGGUUACGAUAGCUUUAAUGAUUUAAUAGAUUAGUUUGUUGGAAGAGAAGAUAUUGUGGAAUAAGUAAAUAAUGCUUUAAUAAUUUAAUUAAAAUCAUAGUUUAAAAAUAAUCUAGUGGCAUUGUCUUGUAAAUAUUGUUGAAACAGGAGGGCACCUCAAAAAAGGGUCUUCUGUUUUAAUAGUAUUGAUGUAUUAAGUAUCAUUACGUUACCAUCAUAAUUAGAUAUGUGAGUUUUAAAUAUAAUAUUAUAUUAAUUCAAAUAUUUAUUUUUGGUACAUCGAGUUACUUUUAUUCUUUUUAAUUUAGCAACGAUUUUUGUUUGUUUUCUUAAUUAUGUUAAAGUUGAAUUAUUAUUUUCUUAACUUCAAGUAGUUUAGUUCAUCCUCUUAUAUUUGCACAUAUAUUUUGUAAAAUUCGUAUAUCUGAUAUAUGUUGUUUCAGAAAAAAAUAGGAAAAAAUAUUAAAUCAAAGUUGCAUUGAUAAAAAUAACUUGUAAUAUUUUAAAAAUUCAUGCACAUUUAUGAAUAUAUAAAAUAAUUAAUUCAUAACAAUUGGUUUAAUUGAUUCUUCAUAUUUUGAUUAGUUUGGUUAUUUAUAUUUUGGUGGAUUGGGUUCUAUUUUUUUUUUGAAAUGAAUCAAAAGAUUUUAUUACAAUUAGACUAGAACAAUAAUAACCAUGUUAGUAUUAAUUACUGAUUCGUAAUAUAGUUACACCAAAAACUCUUAAGUUUUCUCCCCAUCAAUUUACUAUAUUCAGUUCAGAUCAAGCAAUAUUAAUAAGUUUAAUUUUCAUUCUAACAUUGUUUGAACUGUUUAUUCAGUUUUAAGUUAGUAAUUAUAAAAUAAAA